rnacentral:rRNA from 1 species
CGUUCCCGGGCCUUGUACACACCGCCCGUCACACCACGAAGGUCGGUAACACCCGAAGCCAGUGGCCCAACCGUAAGGAGGGAGCUGUCGAAGGUGGGAUCGGUGAUUGGGGUG